UUAAGCGACCAAGCGUACACGGUGGAUGCCCUGGCAGUCAGAGGCGAUGAAGGACGUGCUAAUCUGCGAAAAGCGCCGGUAAGGUGAUAUGAACCGUUAUAACCGGCGAUGUCCGAAUGGGGAAACCCAGUGUGACUCGUCACACUAUCAUUAACUGAAUCCAUAGGUUAAUGAGGCGAACCGGGGGAACUGAAACAUCUAAGUACCCCGAGGAAAAGAAAUCAACCGAGAUUCCCCCAGUAGCGGCGAGCGAACGGGGAGGAGCCCAGAGCCUGAAUCAGCAUGUGUGUUAGUGGAAGCGUCUGGAAAGGCGCGCGAUACAGGGUGACAGCCCCGUACACAAAAGCGCAUGUGCUGUGAGCUCGAUGAGUAGGGCGGGACACGUGGUAUCCUGUCUGAAUAUGGGGGGGACCAUCCUCCAAGGCUAAAUACUCCUGACUGACCGAUAGUGAACCAGUACCGUGAGGGAAAGGCGAAAAGAACCCCGGCGAGGGGAGUGAAACAGAACCUGAAACCGUGUACGUACAAGCAGUGGGAGCAUGAGUUUACUCAUGUGACUGCGUACCUUUUGUAUAAUGGGUCAGCGACUUAUAUUCUGUAGCAAGGUUAACCGUAUAGGGGAGCCGGAGGGAAACCGAGUCUUAACCGGGCGUUAAGUUGCAGGGUAUAGACCCGAAACCCGGUGAUCUAGCCAUGGGCAGGUUGAAGGUUGGGUAACACUAACUGGAGGACCGAACCGACUAAUGUUGAAAAAUUAGCGGAUGACCUGUGGCUGGGGGUGAAAGGCCAAUCAAACCGGGAGAUAGCUGGUUCUCCCCGAAAGCUAUUUAGGUAGCGCCUCGUGAAUUCAUCUCCGGGGGUAGAGCACUGUUUCGGCCAGGGGGCCAUCCCGGCUUACCAACCCGAUGCAAACUGCGAAUACCGGAGAAUGUUAUCACGGGAGACACACGGCGGGUGCUAACGUCCGUCGUGAAGAGGGAAACAACCCAGACCGCCAGCUAAGGUCCCAAAGUCAUGGUUAAGUGGGAAACGAUGUGGGAAGGCCCAGACAGCCAGGAUGUUGGCUUAGAAGCAGCCAUCAUUUAAAGAAAGCGUAAUAGCUCACUGGUCGAGUCGGCCUGCGCGGAAGAUGUAACGGGGCUAAACCAUGCACCGAAGCUGCGGCAGCGACACUAAGUGUUGUUGGGUAGGGGAGCGUUCUGUAAGCCUGCGAAGGUGGCCUGUGAGGGUUGCUGGAGGUAUCAGAAGUGCGAAUGCUGACAUAAGUAACGAUAAUGCGGGUGAAAAACCCGCACGCCGGAAGACCAAGGGUUCCUGUCCAACGUUAAUCGGGGCAGGGUGAGUCGACCCCUAAGGCGAGGCCGAAAGGCGUAGUCGAUGGGAAACAGGUUAAUAUUCCUGUACCUGGUGUUACUGCGAAGGGGGGGACGGAGAAGGCUAUGUUGGCCGGGCGACGGUUGUCCCGGUUUAAGCGUGUAGGCUGGUUUUCCAGGCAAAUCCGGAAAAUCAAGGCUGAGGCGUGAUGACGAGGCACUACGGUGCUGAAGCAACAAAUGCCCUGCUUCCAGGAAAAGCCUCUAAGCCUCAGGUAACAUCAGAUCGUACCCGAAACCGACACAGGUGGUCAGGUAGAGAAUACCAAGGCGCUUGAGAGAACCCGGGUGAAGGAACUAGGCAAAAUGGUGCCGUAACUUCGGGAGAAGGCACGCUGACAUGUAAGUGAAGCGGUUUACCCGUGGAGCUGAAGUCAGUCGAAGAUACCAGCUGGCUGCAACUGUUUAUUAAAAACACAGCACUGUGCAAACACGAAAGUGGACGUAUACGGUGUGACGCCUGCCCGGUGCCGGAAGGUUAAUUGAUGGGGUCAGCGCAAGCGAAGCUCCUGAUCGAAGCCCCGGUAAACGGCGGCCGUAACUAUAACGGUCCUAAGGUAGCGAAAUUCCUUGUCGGGUAAGUUCCGACCUGCACGAAUGGCGUAAUGAUGGCCAGGCUGUCUCCACCCGGGACUCAGUGAAAUUGAACUCGCUGUGAAGAUGCAGUGUACCCGCGGCAAGACGGAAAGACCCCGUGAACCUUUACUAUAGCUUGACACUGAACACUGGUCCUUGAUGUGCAGGAUAGGUGGGAGGCUUUGAAGUGUGGACGCCAGUCUGCAUGGAGCCGUCCUUGAAAUACCACCCUUUAAUGGCUGGUGUUCUAACGUAGACCCGUGAACCGGGUUGCGGACAGUGUCUGGUGGGUAGUUUGACUGGGGCGGUCUCCUCCUAAAGCGUAACGGAGGAGCACGAAGGUUGGCUAAUCCUGGUCGGACAUCAGGAGGUUAGUGCAAUGGCAUAAGCCAGCUUGACUGCGAGCGUGACGGCGCGAGCAGGUGCGAAAGCAGGUCAUAGUGAUCCGGUGGUUCUGAAUGGAAGGGCCAUCGCUCAACGGAUAAAAGGUACUCCGGGGAUAACAGGCUGAUACCGCCCAAGAGUUCAUAUCGACGGCGGUGUUUGGCACCUCGAUGUCGGCUCAUCACAUCCUGGGGCUGAAGUAGGUCCCAAGGGUAUGGCUGUUCGCCAUUUAAAGUGGUACGCGAGCUGGGUUUAGAACGUCGUGAGACAGUUCGGUCCCUAUCUGCCGUGGGCGCUGGAGAACUGAGGGGGGCUGCUCCUAGUACGAGAGGACCGGAGUGGACGCAUCACUGGUGUUCGGGUUGUCAUGCCAAUGGCACUGCCCGGUAGCUAAAUGCGGAAGAGAUAAGUGCUGAAAGCAUCUAAGCACGAAACUUGCCCCGAGAUGAGUUCUCCCUGAGACUUUAGUCUCCUGAAGGAACGUUGAAGACGACGACGUUGAUAGGCCGGGUGUGUAAGCGCAGCGAUGCGUUGAGCUAACCGGUACUAAUGAACCGUGAGGCUUAACCUU
rnacentral:rRNA from 1 species